GAUGAACGCUAGCGGCAGGCCUAAUACAUGCAAGUCGAACGGGAUCCAGAUCAAAGCUUGCUUUGGUUUGGUGAGAGUGGCGCACGGGUGCGUAACGCGUGAGCAACCUACCCUUGUCAGGGGGAUAGCCCGGCGAAAGUCGGAUUAAUACCGCAUGACAUCAUUGAGAGGCAUCUUUCUAUGAUCAAAGAUUUAUCGGACAAGGAUGGGCUCGCGUGACAUUAGCUAGUUGGUAAGGUAACGGCUUACCAAGGCUACGAUGUCUAGGGGCUCUGAGAGGAGAAUCCCCCACACUGGUACUGAGACACGGACCAGACUCCUACGGGAGGCAGCAGUAAGGAAUAUUGGUCAAUGGACGGAAGUCUGAACCAGCCAUGCCGCGUGCAGGAAGACGGCCCUAUGGGUUGUAAACUGCUUUUAUACGGGAACAAACGUCGGUACGUGUACCGGUCUGAGUGUACCGUAAGAA
rnacentral:rRNA from 1 species